GACGAACGCUGGCGGCGUGCUUAACACAUGCAAGUCGAACGGAAAGGCCUGCUUUCCCUUGUGGAUUGCGGGUACUCGAGUGGCGAACGGGUGAGUAACACGUGAGUGAUCUGCCCCCAACUUGGGUAUAAGCCUGGGAAACUGGGUCUAAUUCCCGAUAGGACUGCAGGGUGGUGCCUGUGGUGGAAAACGAUUUUCUAGUGGUUGGGGAUGAGCUCGCGGCCUAUCAGCUUGUUGGUGGGGUAAUGGCCUACCAAGGCGGCGACGGGUAGCCGGCCUGGGAGGGUGGACGGCCACAUUGGGACGGAGAUACGGCCCAGACGCCUACGGGAGGCAGCAGUGGGGAAUAAUGCACGAUGGGCGGAAGCCUGAUGCAGCGACGCCGCGUGGGGGAUGACGGCCUUCGGGUUGUAAACUCCUUUCGACCGCGAGGAAGCCACCUGGUUGGAAGGGUGGUGACGGUAGUGGUAGAAGAAGCACCGGCUAACUACGUG
rnacentral:rRNA from 1 species